AAAGUGAUUUAUUUAGUUUCAUUAUUGGAAUUUUAAAUAAUAUCAUUUACUAAAAGCCAAGACAAAUUUAUUAUAUUUAAUGUUUUGUAACUUUUUAAAUGCAAGUUAUAAAAUUUGUUUUAUCUUUGGCUUAUUUUUAGGGUGGAUACUCCAUCUUACAUCUUAUAAUGUGGUUGGAGAACACUAGGGGAGAGGCAGAGGGUGUUCCAGCCACACAUCCCAGCCAUGAAGUCAAUUAAUACAACACUUUUAAAUGCUGUAUAGUAAGAAAAUACAAUUUAAACUUUUAAACACAAAAUAUAAUCAGUGUUUUUUACAAUUUAAAUUUACAAUUUGAACUUUUUAACACAAAAUAUAAUCAGUGUUUUUUAUGUUAAAGUAUUUAUGAGAAUGGAACAAUUCACUACAAGGGUGUUAAAACGUAACAAAGACAUCGACUUUUUAAUCUAAAAUAGACCACUAAUAUUUGGAAAUGGAAUGGAAACAAAUUAGAACAAUUUUUUGUGUAUAAAGAUAAUAUAUUUUAUCAGAAAAACACUUUUUCGUGUGAAAAACUUGUAUUUUUUUAAGGGUACGAGGGUGUUCCGGUACCCCCUCCGGCCCUCUAGACACCCCUUUUAUCUAUAGAGUUAUAUGAACUUGUAGCCUACUCUUACAUCUAUCUUUUGAUACCAAGGUAUAGACAUUUGGAUAAGAUUUGACAAAGUUAUAACAAUUUUAGU